CAACAAACGAAAGGAGGUGAUCCAGUGUCUCAUUGCACCCAGCCGGAACUCCGCUGCGCGACCGGGAUCACUGCUCACGCCACGAUCGGGGCGGGAUUCUGAGUUUUUCGCCUGCCGGAUGACGGCAUGCGCAAUGCGAGGCCCCGGGGCGGAAGCCCCGGGGCCU
rnacentral:sRNA from 1 species